GAUGAACGCUGGCGGCGUGCCUAACACAUGCAAGUCGAGCGAUCUUCUUCGGAAGAGAGCGGCGGACGGGUGAGUAACGCGUGGGUAACCUGCCUCAUACACAUGGAUAACAUACCGAAAGGUAUGCUAAUACAAGAUGAUAUAAGAGAUUCGCAUGGAUUUCUUAUCAAAGCUCCGGCGGUAUGAGAUGGACCCGCGUCUGAUUAGCUAGUUGGUAAGGUAACGGCUUACCAAGGCGACGAUCAGUAGCCGACCUGAGAGGGUGAUCGGCCACAUUGGAACUGAGACACGGUCCAAACUCCUACGGGAGGCAGCAGUGGGGAAUAUUGCACAAUGGGCGAAAGCCUGAUGCAGCAACGCCGCGUGAGCGAUGAAGGCCUUCGGGUCGUAAAGCUCUGUCCUCAAGGAAGAUAAUGACGGUACUUGAGGAGGAAGCCCCGGCUAACUACGUGCCAGCAGCCGCGGUAAUACGUAGGGGGCUAGCGUUAUCCGGAUUUACUGGGCGUAAAGGGUGCGUAGGUGGUUUCUUAAGUCAGGAGUGAAAGGCUACGGCUCAACCGUAGUAAGCUCUUGAAACUGGGAAACUUGAGUGCAGGAGAGGAAAGUGGAAUUCCUAGUGUAGCGGUGAAAUGCGUAGAUAUUA
rnacentral:rRNA from 1 species